CACUUACUUUGUCUUUGACCUUCCUCCAGGGUAGCUGGCCCACCGUGAACUCCACCAGCAUGUAGAAGAGAGACCAGAGGUCAUCAUGUCGACCCAUCUCCUGAAUACCACAGACACACACAACAUGGGUGAGCAAGGAAGCCCACAGAGUGGAUGCUCUCGAUGGCCUCCAGCAUCUGUCGGCCCAGCCUCAGAGUGGUGGAGACGGUGAAGGUGCCGCGAGACAUAGUUCUGCGCAGGGCCCCUGUCUCUCACCCUGGAGCUUCUUCAGCACGGCCACCUCCAUCUUCAGCACCUGUUUGGGCUGCUGGGCAGACUCCACCUUCAGGGCCACGUUGACCUGGCUCAGCUGAUCCAGCACCUCGUAGAUCUCCCCGAAGCCACCCCCGCCAAUUUUCUUCACCUGAAAAUAGAAUGGAGAAGGUGGAAUGCAGGUAGUAAAGAAAGAAGAGAGAGCGGGUGGGUGGGGGAUGGAGGUGGAGAGAGAGAGAGAACGAGAGGGAAGUUGUGAGUGUUCUGUAUGAAAAGUGCCAUACCGUACCUAAAGAAGGUACACACACACCACAUCUCAUACCGGUUAGACACAUUACAUAACACAUUACAGAAUGCUGCUUUGACCUCGCUAGGAGAAUGGGAGCAGCAACAAGACAGAUUUGACCGAAGCUAGCUGUGCCCUUUCUGUAGCUGGUAGUAUUUAUAGAAACUCACCACUCUCCAUCUCUCCCGGACCAAGUCUGUGACUGACAGGAUGUCUGCCGCCUGCUCUACUGCACCACUCAUCCCAAGUGCUGCUCGGAGUGCUCCCAACGACGGCCUGCACCUGGCAUCAGUGUCGCUGGCUUUUUUACUGCAGAAAGAAAUGGAGAAAGGAGAGAAACAUUUCAAUUUGGACAACUGACAAAUCGUGCCAAAGUCGAGUCCUUGAUGAACUCCAUCUUCAUGUGUCCCCAGAGAGAUGUCAAAAUGUGUGUGUUGUCACUGUCAUUUGACUUUCUUCACCUAUAUACUAAUGUAAAGAACGUAUUGGAACAUUUA